CUUAGCUGAGGCUAAUAUCUGACACUUCCCUGUAAAAGUGACAGUGCACUUAGUAAUCUGUGGAAUGCCUGCACACAUGAAUUGAGAAGAUGCUGGCAGGUCCUUCCCUGACCUUCAUAAGUCAUCAGCUUGUUCCGUGAUUCAUAGUAUUGAAUGGUGCUUUCUUCUUCCUUUACCUUGCUGUAAAUGCUAUUAAUGAUCCAGAGAAGUGAAAGCCCUAAAUCUUUUUUCAACAGGAAAACAAGAAUGGGACAGUAGCACCACCAUUCUCAAGCCUGCAGAACUGCAGGAAAAGAGAAAGUGAAAGACAGCCUGGGUGGAAGGAAAAAUGGCCUUUUUACUAACACUUAAAGAAAAUGUUAUCCUACGUUCAUCUGAACUGGAGAAGGAAGUCACGUCACUCACUUUAUAAUUAUCAUACAAAACAGGAAGUAGAGUUUUAUUCAUUUCCUAUGGAAUCUAAUCAAUGCAAGCAACCCAUCUGGAUAUUCCAGGAAUAAAACCAUAUGAAAGAUUUUCAACAUUUUGGCUUCCAGCAUUCUGGUUAUCUACAAAGAUCAGAGUAGUUGUAUAAUGGACAAAUCUUCACUUUAUUUGAUUCUGUGUAGAUAUAGUCUUUUAUACUCCUGAAGGAAAAUGCUCUGAUAAAAGGAUAGAAUUCCUUCCUGCAUUUAUUCUUAUUCAAAAACUAUAAUUUCAGUUCCACCACUGCAACUACAGUAUAUUUUCAUAUGAGUAGCCAAGACAAUCUCCAGCCCUUAGUAGUCUCUGGCAUAUGACACAUAACCUUUUCAAAACUGAAAGAAAGUCCUUGAGUUGAGAAGUCUAAAGAACAGUGUUUCUGUCAUGGUGUAGACCAGAUUGAGAAAGUUCCACCCAAGUGGCAGAUCCUUGGAGGUAUUUCUCCAAGUCUGUGGAGAAGCAUAAUUAAUGACUGGCUCCUUAGAACACAAAAACAACCACAAAAGACCAAGUGAUAUGUCGGGGAGAAAUGUCCCUUCUGAAAUACAUAAUGAGUAGGAAGAAAUGCCAGUGAAACAUUUCCAAUUCAUUAAAAUACAAAUUUCCUAGUGCAAAGAAAUACCUAAUACAAUAAAAUUCAGAGGCUAUUUUAUAUUCUCCCACAUUGCUUGCUCUGAAGUGAAAAGAAAUAAUAUUUUCCAAAUUUUGACAAGCCUUUUAAAUCUUCAUUGAAUUAUCUGUAUGCUCCAGGUGAGGAAAUAAUAAAAUCAUAGAUAUGACCCGGAAAAGGGAUUUGUGGAUCACUUAGCCCAACCCGCUCAUUUUUAAAAUGAGAAAGAGAGACCCAAAGAAGUGAGGAGACUUAACACAAACCAUCAGAGUAGUUAAUAUCAGGUCCAAGACUGAAACCAGGCCUCCUGACCUAGCGCGCAGCUCUACCAACAGCUCCCUCAGUUCCAUUCCAGGCUUCCUCUGAAAACCAUCUUACCUCCAUCUGCUGGCGCCUGCUCUGCCUCACACGUCAGGCUGGAGAAUCAGCAGUGAGCAGAGGGAUAUCCUCCCCUUUGUCUACAUAAGCUGUGUUUAUCCUGCAAGGCCUAUCUCAAGCCUUCCCUGCCUAGUACAGCCACAGCAGUCGCGCUCUCUCCUGAAGUACAGAUAAUGUAUUCACAUGAUUCAGCAGCAUAAAAAUUUUCAGUGAAGAAAAAUAAAAAGUUUUAGAUUCCCGAAAUACCUGGCUUUAAUAUUAUGCAUGUUCUAGUUUGGAUAAUUAAUUCAGCUAGCUGUGAUUCCUCACUUCAAUAAACAGAGGAUGAAGAAAAAUGCAAAAUUUUACACUUAUACAAAAGGUGUUUAUUUCUCAAGGUGUCAGCCAGACAAAGAACAACAAAUUUCUACAAAUUCUGUAUUUGGUUUGGCUUGAAAGACCCAGAUCAGUCUUUUUCAAUUGUCGUCAGAGAUAUAUCAGUCUCUCCAAUGUAAUUACAAUGCUCUAUACCGUGAAAAGCAAGUCAUAGAGGAGUAAAGCAUGUGCAGGGUAGGCUUCCAUUUUAAAAGGCAGGACUUCUACUGGUGCUCACACUUCCACCUUCCAAGCACACACAAGCACAGGCACCCAUCUCAUGCUGAUGUCCAGUGAAAGGCAUGUCGGGCGUUGUUUCAUAAUUGAAGAAGAAAAGCUUUUCCACAGAGAUAUUACACCAGAUGAAGCCGCAGAGGAGGAUGAAAAGGCUGUUUUUCAGAAAUGAAAUCCCCAUCAAUGGAUCCACUGUCACGGAGACCUCAAAUAAGGAGAAACUGAGGACUGAACUCUGCUGUUCUUUGUUCUAAAUUUCUUCCUGAGUGGCUUGGAGAGAAGGUCAUGCCCCUGACCCAGACCUAACAUUCUUUUCUGCUGAUCCCAAUUUUUAGACAAAGCUUUGCCUCCUUAACCAAUUACAAAUCGGAAAAUCUUUGAAUCCACCUAUGAGCUCUGGGCCCCUGCUUGGAGAUAUGUCACCUUUUUAGGUUAAACCAAUGUAUAGCCUUCAUGUAUUCAUUUAUGACUUGCCUAUAAUCUCUGCCUCCCCACCUUUAAAACCCUUACCUAUAAGCCAUUGGGGAGUUCCAGGCUUAAGUGUUACCAGCCCCAUUCUCUUUGCUUGAUGCCCUGUAAUAAAUGCCUCUCUUUCUGUCACUGC